rnacentral:lncRNA from 1 species
GCUAUAGAUGUAAUAAUUAAGAGAAGGUAUGUUUCUAGACUUAGUACAUUGGUUUUUGUGUACUAAUAUACUUGUCUAAGUGUUAGAAACGGAAGGAAGAAGAAAAGGAAAGAGGUGCAAAUGGCUUGGCUGUGUACAACCAAGACUCAGCUCAGUCUGGCACACCGGACUGUCCGGUGGUGCACCGGACAGUGUCCGGUGCGCCAGGUUGAACCCCGGUGAACAGGCCGCUCUCGGGAGGAGUCUGGCGAUGUACGGCUAUAAUUCACCGGACUGUCCGGUGGUGCACCGGACUGUCCGGUGAGCCAACGGUCGGCUUGGGCAACGGUCGGCCGCGCGAUCUGCGCGUGACGCGUGGCCGAGCCAACGGUCAAAUGGGGGCACCAGACUGUCUGGCGUGCACCGGACAGUGUCCGGUGCGCCAACGGCUCCAGGACUGCAACGGUCGACUGCUCCAUUUAUGGAAGGAAAUCAGGCACCGGACAGUGUCCGGUGGUGCACCGGACUGUCCGGUGCGCCACUCGACAGAAGGCAAGAUUUGCCUUCCUGGAUUGCUUCCAACGGCUCCUAGGCCCCUUGUGCCUAUAAAAGGGACCCCUAGGUGCCUCAAGCAAUACACAAGCGCAGCCAACAAGUGUAGACAUCACUCGAAUCAAUUCUCACUCUCCCUCUUGUGUGUAACUCUAUAGUUUGUGUAGAAGGCACAGCUAUAAGCCUUUAGAGAGAGGAGAAGUGCGGCUAAGAGCUAGAGCAAGGUCUUGAGCGUAUCGUUACUCUGCCGGGGUGCUGCCAAGAAGUUUGUAAGCAGCCGCGGUUUCGGUGUAACCCAACUCAACAUAGUGAAAGGCUCUAUCUGUCAUAUUGACAGAUCUGAGCAAUCGGAGGAAGGAGUUGAAAUAGACUCCAAGCCCUGGUGUGGCUAACUCCAACGAGGACUAGGCAAGCAUUUCAGGCUUGGCCGAACCUCGGGAUAAAUCCUUGCGUCUGUGUGCUCUGUUCUGUAUUGUAUCCUGACUCUCUGUCUUACUCGAUUUUAUAUCUGCACUUCAACACUUAUCCGUGGUAUAAGCUUUAUUUGAAGUGCAGGACAUUUUGAGACAGGAUCUCCGAUUCCGCUGCAACCUACUCGAAGAGUCUUCUCACUCCACUGUGUAUUAAGUCUUCGAGUAGAGUAAGAAUUUAAGUUUUAAAGUAAUAAGUUUUAUUCGCCUAUUCACCCCCCUCUAGGCGACAUCCAGAUCCUGUUCCCGGGUCAAAGGGAACUUUCAAUUGGUAUCAGAGGUAGGCCUCUCCAGUGUGGGCUUAGCCGUUCGGAGAUGACGAUGUCGUCACAAGAGGUAACUGUAGAACUUCUUUUAGGCGAUGGCUCUAAUUAGAAGUCUUGGUCUGUCUCUAUUUAUAGUGCUUUCAUGAGUGUUGAUCCUGAGUUGAGACAGGUCUUUAGUAGUAGUAUUUUCCCUCUAAUAUUAGUAAAAAUCCUUCCAAUGAAGAACUAAGAUGUCUAACUCUAAAUCACCAUGCAUGCAACAUCUUAGUUGAUUCUCUAUCUAGAGGUGCCUAUUUUGCCAUCAUGAGUAGUGAUAGUGAUCUAUUUGUUGAUGCUCAUGAUUUAUGGAAUAGGAUUAAAGAAAAAUAUUUUGUGGCAAACUGUGAUGCUCCUACUCCCUAUAUUACUUGUGAUACUAACCAUUCAAAGGGAGAAGAACAAGAACGAUGGCACCCAAACGAUGAAUCCACCUCGUCGGCAGGUUUGUUCUCCACUAGUGAUAAAUGUUUUAUUGCUAACAAUGACGGUGGAGACGAAAGCCAUGAUGAGGAGGAAUAUGAGGAUGAUAGCGAGGAUGAAUCUUCAUCAUCACAAGGUACAUUUUCCUAUAUUGCUUCCACUGACAUUAAUGACAGGGAAAAUGAGACCGAUGAUGUGGAAGAAGAGGAGAUUCGUCGUUUCUACAACCAUCUCAACAAAGCGGACAAAGCUCUCUUGGUUAAGUUGUUGAGAAGGAACAAGGAACAAGGCGAGACGCUUCUCAGGCUAGAGGAGACUCUCAUCAAAACAAACAACAGCCUGGAAAAGAUGACCAAAGAACAUGAGGAGCUAAGGUGCUCUCAUGAUGUCUUGGUCCAACGAUAUGAUUCAAUGUUAAUUGAGCAAAGUAAUAAUGAUGACGCUCUAUCUAAUGCUGCUCAACUUAAAACUGAAAAUUCUAUGCUUAGAAGUCAAGUAGAAACAAUGAAUUUAGAAAAGCUUGCUCUUAGUGAAAAGUAUGAUAUGUUGUCAUACUCUCAUAGUAAACUAGUUGAUGAUCAUAUCAUGCUCGAUAUUGCUCAUGAGGUAGUAAUUACUAGUUUAAACACAUAUGAACCUCAUUCUUGCACUAGUAAUCAAUUGGUCAAAAUAUUAUCAUGUGCUGACCUCCACCGCCCCAAGAAAGGCCAAUCUUUGUUUGAGAAACAAGUUGCAGGAUCAAAAAGGAAAUUGCUUGGGAACAAGAAACAAAGACAAUUAAGGAGAAGAUGCCUUGCUCGACUUCCGCAAGAUAUCUACGAACACGUGGUGAAGAAGCUUGAGGAAGGAGAAACCGCAGCAAGGGUCAAACUCCAUGAGAAGGAUGUUUCCAAAGCAAUAAAUAAAGAAAUCAACAUGAACAAGGAAAAAGGUAAAAAUUCAAUUAAUCAUGUUGUUUGCACUGAUCAUCUCUCCAUGUCAUUUAAGUACAAAAAGGGAAAAGAAAAAAGGAGGUGCUUCAAGUGCAAGAAGUUAGGCCACCUCAUCGCGUCUUGUCCGUACCAAGACAAGAAUGAAGGGACAAGGAGUUGCUUUGGAUGCAACAAUCAGGACCACACGAUCACUUCAUGUCCGAUCAUGAAGAAUCAAGGAUGUGCAUCCUCCAAGGUGACCCUCACCAAGGAAAAUGUCAAACAACAAGCGUCAUGUCAGGUUGAGUGAUGCUUCUGCUACAAGUGUGGUGAGCAGGGUCAUCUAUCCAAGGUAUGUUAUAAAGGUAAGAUUCCUAAGCAAGUGAAUUUGUCUCAAUUUUAAUCGCGUAGGAGACCCAAAUCAUACACUUGUGCUAGAUCUAUAACGAGAUCACCUAGAACUAGCACAAAGGCAAUUUGGGUACCAAAGGCACAUUUAGAUGAUCAUUAUGGACCCAUCCCGAGAUGGGUACCAAACUGUGCUAACUAGACCAUGCAGGUGCCUUGAGAUGGACUGGAGACCAUGGGAGAGCUUAAGACGGUUAUCUAAAACUCUAUGCUUAAGUUGUUAAUUGUUUUGGUGUUUAUUGACCCAAGGUUGAAUUAUUGUGAGACACUAAUCCCAUGUUCAUCUCAAGUAAAAUAAGGUGUAUAGGUCCUUAAUCAUUAUUGGUGAAUCAAACAAAGGACCUUGAUGAGAUUCUUCAACUUGCUCUCCAUAGGAUGGUACCCUUGUAUUGUAAGUACUUUGUUGAUAAUCAGUAUUGCUCGGUGUGUUACCUGUCCUUGGAGUAGUUAUGUCUCUUGAUUGCCUGUGUUAAGUAUCUUUCAAUCAAUGAUUAGUGAUUUCCAAGAUCAUAACCAUGCGUGCUUAAUCAUGAUUAGGUACUCUCAAUUGGUAUCUUAUCAUUGCUUAAUCAUUCUUUGGGUAACUUAUCAUUUGAGAUAUCCUCCAUGAUUAACUCUUGGUGUGUUCGUGAAUAAACCUGCAUCCCGUUGUGAGUUAUGCUAUAUGGUUUUAUGAUUACUCUAUGUGAAAAUAUGACAUAUUGCUUAGUUUAUAUGAUGACCCUAUUGUGGCACUAUGUGUUAUGUCUCUAAUGCAUUCUCUCGAGCUAUGAAGUGCAUAAAUAAUAGGGAACUUUCAGUUGGUUUGUGGUAAUAACUGAUGCUCUCAUGGCCAUACUGGUAAAAGGCAAAGGUAUGGAAAAUGGAACUGUGCAAUUUUAUUGAAUAUCUUGAAGUUCCAUUGAUUAUGAUCAUAGAUGUAUUCUGGUGUACCUAAAGAACCUUCUUAACUAUGCUUAAGACAUGAUCGUGUUGUUUUUCAAUUGGUUUAUGUAAUGCAAUGAUAGUUAAGUAUGAAGCAUGUCUAAGUUCGUGUAAAAGUUAGACUUCCUGUGAGUAUUCAAUUGGCUUAGGUGCUCCUGAGGCAUGCAUUGUUGUAUUUAGUCAACCUUUCAUUUAGCCUUCAAUUUGUAUUAAGUGGCCUUCAAUUUGGGAUUUAAUUGAUAUCUCUUUGGGAUGAAAGUAAUAGAGUAUGCCUUGACCAAGGUAUGUUGUGAUCCCCUCUAGUUCUAAGGAAGCUAGAAUGUGCAAAGUGCAAGUCAUUCAAAUACUUGAUGCACAACUUGAGGGGGAGCACACAUAACUUGUGUCUUUUGAGACUAACUGUUUCUUGAGCAAUCUUGUAUAGUCUCUAGGUGGAAAAGAGAAGAUGAGCAAGAAAUGGAGCAAUCAGGACUUGGGUACCUCUGUAAGUCAAGAAAUUGGUAUCUCAAGUCAUGAGUAAGUGCAUAUUUUUAGAUUGCUCAUGCUCUAUAAUAUCCUGUGAUAAUAGAUGCUUAUUCUUAAAUAUCAUGGAGCUAUGAUAAUAAAUGAACUUUUCAAUUGCAAUUGGUAUUUUUCAAUUGGUAGUCGUGACAGUUUGCUUCCAUUGACAUCUUUUGAUAAUCAUUAGAAUAGAAGUUUCUUCUUGUGCCCAAUACUAUAACUUGUUCUAAGUUUGGUGUCUUAGCAGCAAGAAAAAGUUAGGAUAAAGAAUCAGACACAAGUGUGGAGAAGCUCUCGAGAGAUUAAAUACUUUCAAGAUGGGAAGUACACUACAACAUGGUAAAGGUACAAAAGGAAGUAUUAAUCUUUUUGCAUUUAUGUAUCUCACCUAAAUAUUGAUAGUGCAUAUGUUCAAUAAGUAAGGGGGAGUUUUGAUAGUCAUUUUUCCUCCUUAACACCCUGCUGUCCCUUGACAUCAUCUUAUGUUCUUGCUUGAGUAUGGUUUUUGGUGUUUGAUGUCAAAGGGGGAGAAUUUGUAUAUUAAAAGCUUAUCUCAACCUGAGAGGAAAGCUUAUCCUAAGGGGUCAUAUGUUAGGUUAAGCUUUGCUAGUGUGUUAUUCAUAUGCUUCUUGCAGUAUUAUAUGUGUUGCAUCAUAUGGACUAGUGUUUCCGCUGCGUUGAAUUAUUUGGCUUCUAUAGUGUAAUAGAUAGUCAUGUGGUUAAUGGUGCUUUAAGACUAAAGGUUUAAGACUAUUGGUAUCUUAAGAUUGCUUAAAUUGGUAUCUUAGUUUAUAUUGGUAUCUUAAUGGUGAAUAGUGGUAGGUUGAGAUUCCUGUGAUAUAUCCACUAAUUUGAAUGGUGUUUAACUCUGAUUAUGUGCAUUUGUGUGUUAUAGCAUCAUGGUUUGAUUCUUGACACAAUGCAUCCUAAAAAGUGCUAAGGUGUAGAAAUGUUUCGAAUUGCCUAAGUAUGUGCAAUUUGGCGUCUGAGGCCAAAAUUAUGUUUUUGAAGUAAGCACAUAUUUAGGGGGAGCAUUCUAUAAACUUAGAAUUCAAAAUUUGUGCUUAAAAUCUUAUUCUUAUGUAAGCUUUAAUUGUGUUGCCAUCAAUCACCAAAAAGGGGGAGAUUGAAAGCUCUCUUGUGAGUUUUGGUGUUUGGAUGACAACUCAAUUAAAGGACUAACAAGUGUACUAAGUGUUGAACAGGUGCUUAAGGUAAAGCCUACAGGGUUCAACACAAGUGAACAAAUGUGAUGGUCCAAGUACUGGAUUAUGGAUACAUGAUGGACAUCACAAGUAAGAUGGACAUUGCAUAAAGUGAGACUCGGGUGCGUAGCUCGGAGACAACUGAUCAAGCCAAGGACGGAGGCAAGAAGAGCUUCGAGGUACCAAGUGCACGGGAGAAGGUCAAGGAGGCUGAGGAACCCAAAGCCAAGGGAGAAGAAGAAGGCUUGCAAAGUCAAGGGUGAUCGAGUUGAGAACAGCUACGGCACAUCAAGGAUCACUACAUAAGGACGUGACUUACAACCAAUGAGGAAAUAUCUAUAGGUAUGUGGUGUAAGUCAUAAGGCUCAAGAUCAAGCUCUAAGAAGGAGAUUAAGGUCACUAGAAGGAGAACAAGUGUCAAAACCAGAACUGGAAGCAGCCCAAAAGAGCUAAGUUCGCCUUGAUCUUUUGUUUGGGUUGUUCCUAUGUUUGUAGAUGUUCUAUGUGACCUUUGCAGGAUGUUGGAGCUAAGAAAUGUCAAUCUAGAUCAAGUCAAGUUGACUUGAUGAUUUAUGAGUCCAACAUCAAAGCUCAAGCAUGACAAAUGCUAUAGAUGUAAUAAUUAAGAGAAGGUAUGUUUCUAGACUUAGUACAUUGGUUUUUGUGUACUAAUAUACUUGUCUAAGUGUUAGAAACAGAAGGAAGAAGAAAAGGAAAGAGGUGCAAAUGGCUUGGCUGUGUACAACCAAGACUCAACUCAGUCUGGCACACCGGACUGUCCGGUGGUGCACCGGACAGUGUCCGGUGCGCCAGGUUGAACCCCGGUGAACAGGCC